GACGAACGCUGGCGGCGUGCUUAACACAUGCAAGUCGAACGGAGUGGCGAACGGGUGAGUAACACGUGGGUGAUCUGCCUUGCACUUCGGGAUAACCUUGGGAAACUGGGUCUAACACCGGCUCGUGCAAGAUGAGUUCGCGGCCUAUCAGCUUGUUGGUGGGGGAAUGGCCUACCCAGGCGUCGACGGGUAGCCGGCCUGAGAGGGGGUACGGCGACAUUGGGACUGAGGUACGGGCCAGACUCCUACGGGAGGCAGCAGUGGAGAAUAUUGCACAAUGGGCGGAAGCCUGAUGCAGAGACGCCGGGUGGGGGAUGAAGGCCUUCGGGUUGUAAACUCCUUUCGACAGGGACGCGGUACCUGUAUAAGAAGCACCGGCUAACUACGUGCCAGCAGCCGCGGUAAUUC
rnacentral:rRNA from 1 species